rfam:Lactobacillus kimchicus JCM 15530 Scaffold1, whole genome shotgun sequence.
CGUUCGGGUGUAGAUGUCGACCAGUCGUCAGCUAUACUCGAAUUCGCACUUCAUUAACGCAGUUCCUCGCCGUGAUAACACCGAGGGGUUGCGUUUUUUU